rnacentral:rRNA from 1 species
ACACAUGCAAGUCGAGCGGUAGAGAGAAGCUUGCUUCUCUUGAGAGCGGCGGACGGGUGAGUAAUGCCUAGGAAUCUGCCUGGUAGUGGGGGAUAACGCUCGGAAACGGACGCUAAUACCGCAUACGUCCUACGGGAGAAAGCAGGGGACCUUCGGGCCUUGCGCUAUCAGAUGAGCCUAGGUCGGAUUAGCUAGUUGGUGAGGUAAUGGCUCACCAAGGCGACGAUCCGUAACUGGUCUGAGAGGAUGAUCAGUCACACUGGAACUGAGACACGGUCCAGACUCCUACGGGAGGCAGCAGUGGGGAAUAUUGGACAAUGGGCGAAAGCCUGAUCCAGCCAUGCCGCGUGUGUGAAGAAGGUCUUCGGAUUGUAAAGCACUUUAAGUUGGGAGGAAGGGCAUUAACCUAAUACGUUAGUGUUUUGACGUUACCGACAGAAUAAGCACCGGCUAACUCUGUGCCAGCAGCCGCGGUAAUACAGAGGGUGCAAGCGUUAAUCGGAAUUACUGGGCGUAAAGCGCGCGUAGGUGGUUCGUUAAGUUGGAUGUGAAAUCCCCGGGCUCAACCUGGGAACUGCAUUCAAAACUGUCGAGCUAGAGUAUGGUAGAGGGUGGUGGAAUUUCCUGUGUAGCGGUGAAAUGCGUAGAUAUAGGAAGGAACACCAGUGGCGAAGGCGACCACCUGGACUGAUACUGACACUGAGGUGCGAAAGCGUGGGGAGCAAACAGGAUUAGAUACCCUGGUAGUCCACGCCGUAAACGAUGUCAACUAGCCGUUGGGAGCCUUGAGCUCUUAGUGGCGCAGCUAACGCAUUAAGUUGACCGCCUGGGGAGUACG